GACAGAGGGGGCAAGCGUUGCUCGGAAUUACUGGGCGUAAAGGGCGCGUAGGCGGGAUGGCAAGUCGGUCGUGAAAUCCCUCGGCUCAACCGAGGAACGUCGAUCGAUACUGCUGUUCUUGAGGAUUGCAGAGGAGACUGGAAUUCCCGGUGUAGCGGUGAAAUGUGUAGAGAUCGGGAGGAACACCGGUGGCGAAGGCGGCGAUCUGGGUAGAUACUGACGCUGAGGUGCGAAAAGCGUGGGGGAGCAAACAGG
rnacentral:rRNA from 1 species